GAUGAACGCUGGCGGCGUGCUUAACACAUGCAAGUCGAACGAAGCACUUUAUUUGAUUUCCUUCGGGACUGAUUAUUUUGUGACUGAGUGGCGGACGGGUGAGUAACGCGUGGGUAACCUGCCUUGUACAGGGGGAUAACAGUUGGAAACGGCUGCUAAUACCGCAUAAGCGCACAGCAUCGCAUGAUGCAGUGUGAAAAACUCCGGUGGUAUAAGAUGGACCCGCGUUGGAUUAGCUAGUUGGUGAGGUAACGGCCCACCAAGGCGACGAUCCAUAGCCGACCUGAGAGUGUGACCGGCCACAUUGGGACUGAGACACGGCCCAAACUCCUACGGGAGGCAGCAGUGGGGAAUAUUGGACAAUGGGCGAAAGCCUGAUGCAGCGACGCCGCGUGAGCGAAGAAGUAUUUCGAUAUGUAAGCUCUAUCAGCAGGGAAGAUAAUGACGGUACCUGACUAAGAAGCACCGGCUAAAUACGUG
rnacentral:rRNA from 1 species